UCAAAAUCUUUUCUGCCUCAGUCAGUUCUUGCAUGUCUGCAGUUCUGUCACUUAUUUUAGCACUGGGCACCACUUGUGUUACGCCCUUUUGACUCUGAAAUGCACUGCAGGGUCUGGUAUUACUCAGAGCCACAAGGGCGUAUAUGUACAUACGCCCUUCUGGCUCCAAACAGUACUCCACCUUUUUGGUACAGGAGGAUGAGAUAAAUCUCCGUUUUGUUCCAGAUGUCGUCAUGGUGCCCUUGGAAAAUGCGUGCACUGUGUACCGUUAGAGCUUUUUGACGAAGACUAUCUGAACCACCUCGACCCGCCGGUGAAGCACGUCUUUCCACGCG